rnacentral:rRNA from 1 species
GACGAACGCUGGCGGCGUGCCUAAUACACGCAAGUAGAACGCUGAAGAGAGGAGCUUGCUCUUCUUGGAUGAGUUGCGAACGGGUGAGUAACGCGUAGGUAACCUGCCUUGUAGCGGGGGAUAACUAUUGGAAACGAUAGCUAAUACCGCAUAACAAUGGAUGACACAUGUCAUUUAUUUGAAAGGGGCAAUUGCUCCACUACAAGAUGGACCUGCGUUGUAUUAGCUAGUAGGUGAGGUAACGGCUCACCUAGGCGACGAUACAUAGCCGACCUGAGAGGGUGAUCGGCCACACUGGGACUGAGACACGGCCCAGACUCCUACGGGAGGCAGCAGUAGGGAAUCUUCGGCAAUGGGGGCAACCCUGACCGAGCAACGCCGCGUGAGUGAAGAAGGUUUUCGGAUCGUAAAGCUCUGUUGUAAGUCAAGAACGAGUGUGAGAGUGGAAAAUUCACACUGUGACGGUAGCUUACCAGAAAGGGACGGCUAACUACGUGCCAGCAGCCGCGGUAAUACGUAGGUCCCGAGCGUUGUCCGGAUUUAUUGGGCGUAAAGCGAGCGCAGGCGGUUUGAUAAGUCUGAAGUUAAAGGCUGUGGCUCAACCAUAGUUCGCUUUGGAAACUGUCAAACUUGAGUGCAGAAGGGGAGAGUGGAAUUCCAUGUGUAGCGGUGAAAUGCGUAGAUAUAUGGAGGAACACCGGUGGCGAAAGCGGCUCUCUGGUCUGUAACUGACGCUGAGGCUCGAAAGCGUGGGGAGCGAACAGGAUUAGAUACCCUGGUAGUCCACGCCGUAAACGAUGAGUGCUAGGUGUUGGAUCCUUUCCGGGAUUCAGUGCCGCAGCUAGCGCAUUAAGCACUCCGCCUGGGGAGUACGACCGCAAGGUCGAAACUCAAAGGAAUUGACGGGGGCCCGCACAAGCGGUGGAGCAUGUGGUUUAAUUCGAAGCAACGCGAAGAACCUUACCAGGUCUUGACAUCCCGAUGCUAUUUCUAGAGAUAGAAAGUUACUUCGGUACAUCGGUGACAGGUGGUGCAUGGUUGUCGUCAGCUCGUGUCGUGAGAUGUUGGGUUAAGUCCCGCAACGAGCGCAACCCCUAUUGUUAGUUGCCAUCAUUCAGUUGGGCACUCUAGCGAGACUGCCGGUAAUAAACCGGAGGAAGGUGGGGAUGACGUCAAAUCAUCAUGCCCCUUAUGACCUGGGCUACACACGUGCUACAAUGGUUGGUACAACGAGUUGCGAGUCGGUGACGGCAAGCUAAUCUCUUAAAGCCAAUCUCAGUUCGGAUUGUAGGCUGCAACUCGCCUACAUGAAGUCGGAAUCGCUAGUAAUCGCGGAUCAGCACGCCGCGGUGAAUACGUUCCCGGGCCU